rnacentral:rRNA from 1 species
UACGGGGGGGGCAAGCGUUGUUCGGAAUUACUGGGCGUAAAGGGCUCGUAGGUGGCCAACUAAGUCGGACGUGAAAUCCCUCAGCUUAACUGGGGAACUGCGUCCGAUACUGGAUGGCUCGAGUUUGGGAGAGGGAUGCGGAAUUCCAGGUGUAGCGGUGAAAUGCGCAGAUAUCAGGAGGAACACCGGUGGCGAAGGCGGGUCUCUGGGCCGUAACUGACGCUGAGGAGCGAAAGCAUGGGGAGCGAACAGG